AUUGAACGCUGGCGGCAUGCCUUACACAUGCAAGUCGAACGGUAACGGGCCUUCGGGUGCCGACGAGUGGCGCACGGGUGAGUAAUACAUCGGAACGUGCCCGAUCGUGGGGGAUAACGAGGCGAAAGCUUUGCUAAUACCGCAUACGAUCUACGGAUGAAAGCAGGGGACCGCAAGGCCUUGCGCGGACGGAGCGGCCGAUGGCGGAUGAGGUAGUUGGUGGGAUAAAAGCUUACCAAGCCGACGAUCUGUAGCUGGUCUGAGAGGAUGAUCAGCCACACUGGGACUGAGACACGGCCCAGACUCCUACGGGAGGCAGCAGUGGGGAAUUUUGGACAAUGGGCGCAAGCCUGAUCCAGCCAUGCCGCGUGCAGGAUGAAGGCCUUCGGGUUGUAAACUGCUUUUGUACGGAACGAAAAGCCUUCUUUUAAUACAGGAGGGUCAUGACGGUACCGUAAGAAUAAGCACCGGCUAACUACGUG
rnacentral:rRNA from 1 species